rnacentral:rRNA from 1 species
UGCAAGUCGAACGAUGAGGCCCCUCGGGGCGGAUUAGUGGCGAACGGGUGAGUAACACGUGGGCAAUCUGCCCCUCACUUCGGGACAAGCCCUGGAAACGGGGUCUAAUACCGGAUGACAUCCUUGCCCGCAUGGGCGGGGGUUGAAAGCUCCGGCGGUGAGGGAUGAGCCCGCGGCCUAUCAGCUGGUUGGUGAGGUAACGGCUCACCAAGGCGACGACGGGUAGCCGGCCUGAGAGGGCGACCGGCCACACUGGGACUGAGACACGGCCCAGACUCCUACGGGAGGCAGCAGUGGGGAAUAUUGCACAAUGGGCGCAAGCCUGAUGCAGCGACGCCGCGUGAGGGACGACGGCCUUCGGGUUGUAAACCUCUUUCAGCAGGGAAGAAGCGCAAGUGACGGUACCUGCAGAAGAAGCGCCGGCUAACUACGUGCCAGCAGCCGCGGUAAUACGUAGGGCGCGAGCGUUGUCCGGAAUUAUUGGGCGUAAAGAGCUCGUAGGCGGCCUGUCGCGUCAAUUGUGAAAGCCCGGGGCUUAACCCCGGGUCUGCAGUCGAUACGGGCAGGCUAGAGUGUGGUAGGGGAGAUCGGAAUUCCUGGUGUAGCGGUGAAAUGCGCAGAUAUCAGGAGGAACACCGGUGGCGAAGGCGGAUCUCUGGGCCAUCACUGACGCUGAGGAGCG